AGCGAGGACUGCCUCAGCGCGGUCCCCGACGACCUCCUUAUCAACAUCCUUCUCCUGAUCCGCGACGCCUCCGCCGCCGCGCGGACCAGCGUCCUCUCCCGCCGCUGGCGCCGCGUCUGGACGCUGCUCCCGGAGCUCCACUUUCUCUCCCACAAUGACCCCCACCGCAUACGCCUCGCCCUCACCGCCCAUCAAGCGCCGGCCCUACGCUUCCUCGAUGUCGCCGUCAUUGACGCCACCCCCGAUUCCAUGGUGGCCUGGCUUCAAAUCGCCGCACGCCGCCUCUCCGGCCAUCUACGUCUCAUCAACACUGAGGAGAACACCUCGUUAGACGAGGCCGGAGAAACAGGCGCAUUCGAGCUGCCCUGCUUCGAGGAUGCCAUGUCCAUCAGCCUCGAACUAGGCCGUCUUGGCCUCGCUGUGCCGUCUUCGGGUGUAUUCGCCCGGCUCACCAAUCUCUUCCUGAAUCGUGUCCGGCUACAUGGUCCGUCAAUGCUCGGUGACGCUGUCUCCUGGCCACGGUGCCCAUCCCUGCGGAGACUCAUCGUUCAUAAUGCUGACGGUGUGCGCAACUUCGCAAUCCACUCCGAUUCUCUCCUACAAAUGGAGCUGAGGAAUCUCCGUGGCUUGGAGCAGCUCACUGUGAUGGCGCCGGCACUCCAAUUUCUGAGUGUGAGCUCCUGCAUUUCUUAUAGUUUGAGAAAUAAUCAACCGGCUGCAAACAUCUCGGCCCCUCAGCUGAUAUCCCUCCAGUGGAAGGAUGAUUAUCAUCCAAACUACACCCAGCUUAAAAUGGAAAAUCUAGAACGGCUGAGUGCCCACCCUUUUUACGUAUAUGGACAAGAGUCGCACAAGACGUUCAAUAGUAAUUGUACGAGGCUUCUACGGCGCUUUGAGGUCAUUGGGGUUCUCAAAUUAAUGCUUCUCUAUCUGCCGGGAAUUACUAACCAUGAGUACUUGAUGGAAGACAUUAAAAAGAUCCCAAACACUUCAUUAAUGGUCCUGGAAAUAGUGGCAAAUGGACAUUCCUUUGGAGCCAGUUCAUUCCAUGUCCUCAGCAUGUGUAUUGGUGUCAGGAGGCUUCUUCUUAAACUUGUUGACGCACCUAGCCAUCUGGUGACUGGAUGCCCAUCAGGUUGCGUUUGUGAUCAGCCACCAAACUGGAAAAUCGAGGAACUCACGCUGUAUUGCCUUCGAGAAGUAGAGAUCCACAACUUGAGAGGAACUGAACAUGAAACUGCUCUUAUGAAACGGUUAUUCCGUUGGGCAACAGUGCUAGAAAAGAUGACAGUAACUUUUCAUUGCUCAGUCGCUGAAAGCAAGGCCAAGGAGUUCUGCCAGAUGCUUCAAAGCUUCUGUAGGCCAGAAAUAUCUAUGAAGGGGCAACGCUUCGCCUAA
rnacentral:rRNA from 1 species